UCAUUAUGAAUUGUGAAAAAGAAUCUGGUAGGGACUAAAGCACAAUGUCCACACACAAGUUAUCCUCUAGGACCAUUCCUAGACCUGUGAGUUUCUCUAUCCACUCAAUCAUCUUUAGGACAUGGUUCUGAACCGGUGUCCCCUUAGUCAUCCUUGCGCGGAAGAGGCUCUUGGAUAUCUCAUAUCGCUGAGUCCUUCCCUGUUCCUCAAACAAUUUGCGGACAUGUAGGAGAAUAGAUCUGGCAUCCAUCUUUU
rnacentral:lncRNA from 1 species